GCUCCGGUGGCCUAGUGGUUAGAGCGUCCGCCUCAAAUGCGGGAGGUCGUGGGUUCGAUCCCCGGUCGAGUCA